rnacentral:rRNA from 1 species
UACGUAGGGUGCAAGCGUUAAUCGGAAUUACUGGGCGUAAAGCGUGCGCAGGCGGUUUUCUAAGACCGAUGUGAAAUCCCCGGGCUCAACCUGGGAACUGCAUUGGUAACUGGCAAGCUAGAGUAUGGCAGAGGGGGGUAGAAUUCCACGUGUAGCAGUGAAAUGCGUAGAGAUGUGGAGGAAUACCGAUGGCGAAGGCAGCCCCCUGGGGCAAUACUGACGCUCAUGCACGAAAGCGUGGGGAGCAAACAGG